GUGCUCACUUUGGCAGGGCAUUUAUGAAGGUUGGAAUAAUACAGAGAAGAUUGGCAUGAUCCUGUGCAAGGAUGACUUGCAGAUCCAUAAAGUAUGCCCUAUUUGA
ensembl:snRNA U6 U6 spliceosomal RNA